GGCCUGCUCCUGUGGCUGCAGCCGCGUUCAAGGAGCACUCACGAAAAGUUCCCUGCUUGGAGAUGGGCCCCAGAAAGAAGGAACCUGAAUUUGCUGCUUCGGAUAAGACUGGUUCAGCGAGGCUGUGAAUUGCAGUCCAGAGCAUCCUCAGGCUCCUGGUGCUUUAGGCUGAGGGAUUUGGCAGAUAGAAAACAUUGCUGUCUAACCCGGAUUUGGAUGUCACUGAGAAACGUGGGACGAGAACUGAACCAUGACUUCUUGAAGGCCCUAGCAGAAAGAGGAGCAGCAAAUCGUGUGGAAGAGUUUCCGUGAGUACCUGUGAUUUUAUAAAUUUAACAGCUUCAAGAUGAAUCUGAAAAGCAAAACAUGGUUUUUUUUUUGAAGGAAAGCCUCAGGUAGAAACACGUGAGA